rnacentral:rRNA from 1 species
AAAUAGUCAGGCCUGCUCACUGAUAGUUGUAUUAAAGAGCCGCGGUAUCCUAACCGUGCAAAGGUAGCAUAAUAAUUAGAUUUUUAAUUGGAAUCUUGUAUGAAUGGUCUUACAAAGGAAAAUCUGUCUUGGGUUUAAAAAUUGAAAUUAACUUUCAAAUGAAAAGGUUUGAAUAAAUUAAAGGGACGAUAAGACCCUAUAAAGCUUUAUGUAAAAAGAAAUAUGAUCUAUUUAGUUUAUAAAGGUUUAGUUUUAUAUUACAUUUUAUUGGGGCAAUAUAAAUAUAAUUUUUGUAACUGUUUAUUUUUAGAAACACUGUUUUUGAUUUUGUUGAUCCUUUUUAGAGAUUAAAAGAACAAGUUACUUUAGGGAUAACAGCGUUAUUUUUCUUAGAGUUCAUAUCGAAAGAAAAGAUUGCGACCUCGAUGUUGAAUUAAAAUGUCUUCACGGUGCAGCAGCUGUGGAAGAAAGUCUGUUCGCUUUUAAAAUUUUACAUGAU